GAUGAACGCUGGCGGCGUGCCUAAUACAUGCAAGUCGAGCGAACAGACGAGGAGCUUGCUCCUCUGACGUUAGCGGCGGACGGGUGAGUAACACGUGGAUAACCUACCUAUAAGACUGGGAUAACUUCGGGAAACCGGAGCUAAUACCGGAUAAUAUAUUGAACCGCAUGGUUCAAUAGUGAAUGACGGUUUUGCUGUCACUUAUAGAUGGUUCCGCGCCGCAUUAGCUAGUUGGUAAGGUAACGGCUUACCAAGGCAACGAUGCGUAGCCGACCUGAGAGGGUGAUCGGCCACACUAGAACUGGGACAGGGUCCAGACUCCUGCGGGAGGCAGCAGUAGGGAAUCUGCCGCAAUAGGCGAAAGCCUGACAGAGCAACGCCGAGUGAGAGAUAACGGUCUUCGGAUCGUAAAACUCGGUUAUUAGGGAAGAACAGAUGUGUAAGUAACUAUGCACGUCUUGACGGUACCUAAUCAGAAAGCCACGGCUAACUACGUG
rnacentral:rRNA from 1 species